rnacentral:tRNA from 1 species
CAAGAAAUAGUUUAUUUAAAAUAUUAAUUUUGGAGAUUAAUGAUAAAGAAAGUUCUUUUUUCUUGA